CCCUUAGAUGUCCUGGGCUGCACGCGCGCUACACUGACGAACUCAACGAGCUUAUCACCUUGGCAGAGAUGUCUGGGUAAUCUUUUGAAAGUUCGUCGUGCUGGGGAUAGAUGAUUGUAAUUAUUCGUCUUGAACGAGGAAUUCCUAGUAAGCGCAAGUCAACAGCUUGCGUUGAUUACGUCCCUGCCCUUUGUACACACCGCCCGUCGCUACUACUGAUUGGAUGUUUAAGCGAGGUUCUCGAACUGCUAGCGACUUAGCUUCGGUGAGGUCGCAGUGUGGGAAGUGAACCUAGCUUUGGUGUCUAGAGGAAGUAAAAGUCGUAACA
rnacentral:rRNA from 1 species